UGGGGAAUAUUGGACAAUGGGCGAAAGCCUGAUCCAGCAAUGCCGCGUGAGUGAUGAAGGCCUUAGGGUUGUAAAGCUCUUUUUACCAGGGAUGAUAAUGACAGUACCUGGAGAAUAAGCUCCGGCUAACUCCGUGCCAGCAGCCGCGGUAAUACGGAGGGAGCUAGCGUUGUUCGGAAUUACUGGGCGUAAAGCGUACGUAGGCGGUGACUCAAGUCAGAGGUGAAAGCCUGGAGCUCAACUCCAGAACUGCCUUUGAAACUAGGUCGCUAGAAUCACGGAGAGGUGAGUGGAAUUCCGAGUGUAGAGGUGAAAUUCGUAGAUAUUCGGAAGAACACCAGUGGCGAAGGCGGACUCACUGGCCCGAUACUGACGCUGAGGUGCGAAAGCGUGGGGAGCAAACAGGAUUAGAUACC
rnacentral:rRNA from 1 species